CAGGGGAUCUUGGGCAAUGGGCGAAAGCCUGACCCAGCGACGCCGCGUGGGGGAUGAAGGCCUUCGGGUCGUAAACUCCUUUUCCAGGGGACGAUAAUGACGGUACCUUGGGAAGAAGCCCCGGCUAACUACGUGCCAGCAGCCGCGGUAAAACGUAGGGGGCGAGCGUUACCCGGAAUCAUUGGGCGUAAAGGGCAUGUAGGCGGUUUGGUCCGUCGUUGGUGAAAGGCCUCAGCUUAACUGGGGAGCCGCUAACGAUACCACCAGACUAGAGGGCAGCAGAGGUGAGUGGAAUUCCCGGCGUAGCGUUGAUAUGCGUAGAGUUCGGGAGGAACACCAGUGGCGAAGGCGACUCACUGGGCUGUCCCUGACGCUAAGGUGCGAAAGCGUGGGGAGCAAACAGG
rnacentral:rRNA from 1 species